rnacentral:snRNA from 1 species
AUAGUUACCUGGCUGGGCAGAUACUGUGAUCAUGAAGGUGGUUCUCCCAGGGCGAGGUUCACCCAUUGCACUGUGGGUGUGUUGACCUCUGCGGUUUCCCCAAAUGCGGGAAACUUGACUGCAUAAUUUGUGGUAGUGGAGGACUGCGUGUGCACUUUCCCCAG